GAAAUGCGAUAAGUAAUGUGAAUUGCAGAAUUCAGUGAAUCAUCGAAUCUUUGAACGCACAUUGCGCCCGCCAGUAUUCUGGCGGGCAUGCCUGUUCGAGCGUCAUUACAACCCUCAGGCCCCCGGGCCUGGCGUUGGGGAUCGGCGGAAGCCCCCUGCGGGCACAACGCCGUCCCCCAAAUACAUUGGCGGUCCCGCCGCAGCUUCCAUUGCGUAGUAGCUAACACCUCGCAACUGGAGAGCGGCGCGGCCACGCCGUAAAACACCCAACUUCUGAAUGUUGACCUCGAAUCAGGUAGGAAUACCCGCUGAACUUAAGC
rnacentral:misc_RNA from 1 species